rnacentral:rRNA from 1 species
GAUGAACGCUGGCGGCGUGCCUAAUACAUGCAAGUCGAGCGAACAGACGAGGAGCUUGCUCCUCUGACGUUAGCGGCGGACGGGUGAGUAACACGUGGCUAACCUACCUAUAAGACUGGGAUAACUUCGGGAAACCGGAGCUAAUACCGGAUAAUGUAUUGAACCGCAUGGUUCAAUAGUGAAAGACGGUUUUGCUGUCACUUAUAGAUGGAUCCGCGCCGCAUUAGCUAGUUGGUAAGGUGACGGCUUACCAAGGCAACGAUGCGUAGCCGACCUGAGAGAGGGAUCGGCCACACUGGAACUGAGCCACGGUCCAGACUCCUACGGGAGGCAGCAGUAGGGAAUCUGCCGCAAUGGGCGAAAGCCUGACGGAGCAACGCCGCGUGAGUGAUGAAGGUCUUCCGAUCGUAAAACUCUGUUAUGAGGGAAGAACAAAUGUGUAAGUAACUAUGCACGUCUUGACGGUACCUAAACAGAAAGCCACGGCUAACUACGUG